AUGCACGCUGGCGGCGUGCCUAAUACAUGCCAGUCGAGCGAACGGACGAGAAGCUUGCUUCUCUGAUGUUAGCGGCGGACGGGUGAGUAACACGUGGAUAACCUACCUAUAAGACUGGGAUAACUUCGGGAAACCGGAGCUAAUACCGGAUGAUAUUUUGAACCGCAUGGUUCAAAAGUGAAAGACGGUCUUGCUGUCACUUAUAGAUGGAUCCGCGCUGCAUUAGCUAGUUGGUAAGGUAACGGCUUACCAAGGCAACGAUGCAUAGCCGACCUGAGAGGGUGAUCGGCCACACUGGAACUGAGACACGGUCCAGACUCCUACGGGAGGCAGCAGUAGGGAAUCUUCCGCAAAGGGCGAAAGCCUGACGGAGCAACGCCGCGUGAGUGAUGAAGGUCUUCGGAUCGUAAAACUCUGUUAUUAGGGAAGAACAUAUGUGUAAGUAACUGUGCACAUCUUGACGGUACCUAAUCAGAAAGCCACGGCUAACUACGUG
rnacentral:rRNA from 1 species